UACGGGGGGGGCAAGCGUUGUUCGGAAUUACUGGGCGUAAAGGGCUCGUAGGCGGCCAACUAAGUCCGACGUGAAAUCCCCAGGCUUAACCUGGGAACUGCGUCGGAUACUGGAUGGCUUGAAUUCGGGAGAGGGAUGCAGAAUCCAGGUGUAGCGGUGAAAUGCGUAGAUAUCUGGAGGAAUACCGGUGGCGAAGGCGGCAUCCUGGACCGACAUUGACGCUGAUGAGCGAAAGCUAGGGGAGCAAACGGG
rnacentral:rRNA from 1 species